UAGACUUUAAGUUAUUUAAACUGUAAGCCUUCAAAGCUUGAAAAAUGUGUGAUUAAGUCUAA
rnacentral:tRNA from 1 species